CCAGAGGUGGGGAAGGUGGGGCUGCAAUGUCAAAUGGGGGGCUGUGGGACAUCACAAAGGUUUCCAUAGAGAAAAGUGAUGUCAGAACAAAGACCUAGGGAAGAAAGGCUGCUUGUCACUUGUAGCUGAGGGGCCAGAGAGUCCUCGGCAGUGGGCCAGCCCACAUGGAAGCUUUGACGCAGGAGCAACCUUGGCUCCAGGAACAGGAAAGAGGUGGAAGGGAAAGCAUCAAUUCAGCCAGAAACACAUCUGGCUGACUUUGGGGUCACUGCCUGAGGCUGAGCACACCCACAUGGUCAAUAGAAGACCCUAAACUCUGCAAAAAGAAGAGAGACUUCUCUGUGCCCAGACUCCUCGAUGGAGAAAAGGUCCUGGGGUCUGAGAUUUCUCACUUGGCAAUGACACUGGCUUGAAUAUUGUUCACAGACCCGAAUCCCUGGGUCUUGUGUGGGGCAAACUGACAGUAGAACUGCAGGAAGUGAGAUCUGAACAGAGAGAGCGGCAGAAAGGAAGGCAGAGGACUUGAGGGAGGGGACGAAGAAGAGACACAAACAGACCAACUCCUCCUCUCCCUCAGCCACCCACCUGGGGAAGCAUUCGUUUCCCAUGUUAGAGAAGAUGAUGGGGAAAGGCAGAAGUGUGUGCAUAGGGUGAGAUGUGUGUUGAGUGGACAGAAAAACUCCUUUCCCUCAAUGGGACUCCAGUAGCUUACCUCGCUCUACUGCACAUUCCUAGGCAGAGGGGCACCCUGUGGGGAUGAACACAGCCCUUCCUUUCUCCAGUUCCUGAGUCUGCCCGCCAUGACUAGGGCUGGAACCCUCACACUCCCUUCCCAGGGCCCAGUGACCCCUCCGCACUGGAGAAAGAUCCGUUCCACAGUGGGUUUUAAGGACCCCGCCCCUCAGCUCCCCAGCUGCCUUGUGACUCUGGGACUCUCUGGGUUUUAUUGUUGUUGCUUGAGAUGGAGCCUCGCUCCGUCACCAGGCUGGAGUGCAGUGUUGCUAUCUCAGCUCGUUGCGACCUCUGCCUCCUGGGUUCAAGCAAUUCUCUUGCCUCAGCCUCCCAAGUAGCUGGAAUUACAGGCACAUACUGCCAUGCCCAGCUAACUUUUUGUACUUUUUAUAGUAGAGGUGGGGUUUCACUGUGUUGCCCAGGCUGGCCGUGAACUCCUGAGCUCAGUCAAUCCGCCCACUUCGGCCUCCCAAAGUGUUGGGAUUACAGACAUGAGCCACCGUGCCUGUGACGCUCUGUUAUCUUGGAAUAAACAGGGAGAGGCCACUGGCUUGGCAGCAAGAAAGUGGCAGCUUUACCAUCCCAAGGGCAGACCCAGCAUAAGUCCCAGUCUUUGGGCUGCAGGUCUGUGCACUGUAUUUCACACUGAUUCUUGGAAAAAUCUUUCCCUAACUCUGAGACCCUGAUUGCCACUCCCUCUUGAGAUGCACCUGCCCAUAGCAAACCCUCCCUCAGCACGGCCCCCACAGCAAACCCUCCCUAAUGAAAACCAUCUGUGCCUGUUUCUUAGGCCUCUCUGUUGCCCUUCUGGACACAGACGUGCUUACAAACUCCCACAUUCCCCCUAUGCUUCCCAAAGAUCCAGAAGCCCUGCUAUGAAAUCUCACAAGCCCCAGUAAUUCAUGGAAUAAUGUUCAUAAACACCCAGGGACUCGCUGACCCAGGACAACGUAUUUCCACUCUUCGUGACUCCAGCCACCCAGGAAUACCACGAAAACCUACCGAUGAAACAGACAUGUCUCUAAUAACGCACAGGCGCCAAUGAGACCCCAGCAGCAUAAAAGGAAGCAUUCCAAAUUAUCCUUUCAUCUUCCAAAAUGUAACUGAAAGCUUAUUGAUCUGCAAACUGCAAAUACCCUGAGUGCCAAAGGCAACCCAGAAAACAAUUCUGAGAUUUCUCCUAUCGUCCCUCUGUGGGUUUCAGGAUGGUUUUUGCCCUCCUCAAAGCCUCCGCAGAAAUCAUCUGGUGAAUGAUGCUGUGGGGCAGCUCUGGGAUCCACACCCUCAGGCCAAGGUGCACGUCCUCCUGCUGCUGAAGCUCCCAGUGGGCUCAGCUUAGGCCUUGGUUCCAACUACACUUCAGGAUGAUGUUUCUCUCUGCCUGAUUCAUUGCCUUCAGUACUCUUCACUGUGAAGAUGAGUUUCCCAAUGAAACCCCUGCGUGCAAAUCUCUGUGUCAGCAUCUGUUUCCCAGCCAGAGCACACCGGAUUGAAAGGCCUCUGGACACAAACGAUGUAGCAGGAAUGGACACAAACUGCCAUCUGAGGGACAACGGGCCUCGAGUAUGGAGUCUAGGACAUCGGCCAUGCUGGAAGGAAUUGCCAGCAGUGAGGGGACACCAUGGAGUCCAGAAUGAAGACGGGCUGGACUAAGCUGACAGAGAAUGUCCAAGAAAAAGAGAGGCCCUGGAUAUCCCGAGGGAGGCUGCCACUGUUCCCUCGUCUCUUUCUCACAGUGACCUCCAAAAUUCCCCAGUUGUUUAGGGUGUGCCUCCUUCAUGGCCCAUUUGGUUUCUGAACUUCUCAUCACCCUUCCUAGAAGAAACCCAGGACCCCUGACUCUGAGCACCUGCUAGAAGGCAAAGCCCCUGCCCAGGAUGGCAACUGGGCCCUGGUGAUGUGCAGAGCGUGGGGGACACGGAAGCUGGAGUUAAGCAGUGGGGAUGCCUGGGCACUGCCUGAGGACACAGGGUCUGUAGGGCUUUUCAGGCCUCAGUGAGGCCUUCUGCCUUUAUAUAGACUGGAAUAAACAGCCACAGGAGGUUUACAUCCAUCACAGAUGAAACGUCCAGAAGAAACACGGGAGCAUCCUCAUACCCCGCCCCCCAGCCCCUUGGUCUCCCCUGAGGACUCCUCAGCCUGACCCCAACCCCAGCAUCUAAACCACAACCCCAGAGCAGGUGCUAGGAUUGUCCUGUGGCCAAGAUGGAGACAGUGGGUCCUCCAACGGAGGAAGACACAAAACACUGAAAUAAUCCACGCAGAAGAGCGUGUCUGAUGUGGUGACUGAUGCAGAGAUAAUAACACCUGAGUAACGUGAUAGACACUGACCGGCAGAGAGGACGUCAGCUGGGGGUGGGAGGUCAUGGGAGAUGCCUGAGCCUAGACCUGAACAAGGAGAAAGGGACGGGGCCAUCAUCAUUUAGGGACAUAGCAGAAGAUCAGGGACAAUGAUUUGAGACAGAAAACGUUCUGGUGUUUGGGAAAAGAGAAAAGCAAAUGUCACUGGGGCAGAGGGAGUCAUGAGAUGAGGGCAGGCUUCCAGGAGGAGGCUGGACACGGGCCGGGGCCUGGACACAGGGCUGUGGAGCCACACGGAGGGGUCGGGCUUUUGUCCUGGGGAACACGGGAAGCCGGUAGAGGGUUCCCUACCAGGGACCAACAUGACCUGCUUUAGAUUUAGCUGUGAUAUCCUAAUAUGGAGAACGGCCUUCAAAGAUGGUCUCUCUGACUCUGAGUUUAUGUCCCAGCCUCCAUCCACUAAACCUUCCAUUUAAAAUAAAUUUAAAUGUUGUUUUAAACUUUAGAGCACUAAAUCCCCCGCUUUUUUUUGAGAUGGAGUUUCACUCUUGUUGCCCAGGCUGAAGUGCAGUGGUGCGAUCUCAGCUCACUGCAACCUCCCGGCUUCAAGUGGUUCUCCUGCCUCAGCCUCCCAAGCAGCCGGGAUUACAGGCGUGUGCCACCACACCCGGUUAAUUUCCUAUUUUUAUUAGAGACGGGGUUUCUCCAUGUAGUCAGGCUGGUCUCAAACUCCCAACCUCAGAUGAACGGCCCGCUUUGGCCUCCCAAAGUGCUGGGAUUACAGGCGUGAGCCACUGUGCCUGGCCCCAUUUAAAUGUUUAAUUGCAGUGGGCACUCCCCUCUUCCUAGAAGAACUCAAAUGGAUCCUAAUCUUGCCAAACAUUAGGGGUCAGUGUUGCUCGGACUGAGGCCUCUUGUCACUGUCACGUUGCAGGUGGGUUUACUGAGGGCUGGAGCGGGAGACGUUUCACCACGUCAGCCUAGGCUGAAUGAGAAGAUGUGUCUGACUCUGAUAAGACAGCCCUUCAGGGCCAGUGGGAACACUAGACUUUCUCACACCUCCCCUGGAAAAUUCCAGGACCUUCUUUCAUAUACCUGGGAAAACAAACAAACAAAAACAAAACCCCCUCUUUCACGGCUUGUCACAUUAAUCCCAAACAUUUAAUUCUGCUUUUCCAGAAAAACAGCACACUUAUGAAACGCAGAACUGUGAAAACACGGCUGUUGGUGCUGAAAACAGUGAAAGACUGUCAGCUGCAGAAAUGAGCGCUCAGCACAUUUUUUCAUGAACAUAUAAGGUCCGCUGGAAUAAGGUUUCGAGUCAAUCCAGCCACCCUUCCACAUUAACAGAAAACGGAACUGGCAGAAGGGACCUGAGGGGGCAUCUACUUAGCAGUUCACAGGCCGCGGUUCUAAGAGAUGAUAUAAGCGAAGAAGACUGACUAGUUACAAAUUAGCACCUAGGCUCUGACGUUAAGAUUUAACAAAAAAAGGAUCAUUGGUAUCUUUACCAGGUACACACUGAUAUCAUCUAAAAUUACCAACUGAUGGCCGGCGCAUUGGCUCACACCUGUAAUCCCAGCAUUUAGGGAGGCCAAGGAGGGCGAAUCACUUGAGGUCAGGAGUUUGAGACCAGCCUGGCCAACAUAAUGAAACCCUGUCUCCACUAAAAAUACAAAAAUUGGCCAGGUGUAGUGGCAGGUGCCUGUAAUCCCAGCUACUUGAGGAGGCUGAGGCAGGAGAAUCAUUUGGACCUGGGAGGUGGAGGUGGCAGUGAGCCAAGGUCACACCAGUGCACUCCAGACUGGGUGACAGAGUAACACUCCAUCUCAAAUAAUAAUAAUAAUAAGGGCCAUGUACGGUGGCUAAUGCCUGUGAUCCCAACACUUUUGGAGGCUGAGACGGGCAGAUCACUUGGAGUCAGAGGUUUGAGACCAGCCUGGCCAACAUGAUGAAACUCUGUCUUUACUAAAAAUACAAAAAGUUAGCCAGGUAUGGUGGCAGGCACCUGUACUCCCAGCUAGUGGGAAACUGAGGCAGGAGAAUUGCUUGAACCUCGGCAGGCAGAGGUUGCAGUGAGAUCACGCCACUGCCCUCCAGCCUGGGUGACAGAGUCUAUCUCAAAAAUAAACAAUUAAUUAAAAAUAAAUGAAUACAAUUAUCUACUGACUACCAAAGAGUGUUUCCAAUAUAUGAUAAAGAGUAGAAAGCAUGAAGACUGGGCUGGGCGUGGUAGAUCACGCCUGUAAUUGCAGCACUUUGGGAGGCCAAGGUGGGUGGAUCACAAGGUCAGGAGUUCGAGAGCAGCCUGACCAACAAGGUGAAACCCUGUCUCUACUAAAAAUACAGAAAUUACCUGGGCGUGGUGGCAUGCGCCUGUAGUCCCAGCUACUCGGGAGGCUGAGCCAAGAGAGUCAAUUGAA